rnacentral:ncRNA from 2 species
AAACUUUUUCGGGGCAGGGUGAGGUUAAAUUAAAAGAUAGCCAAUUCCCGAUCGGUGGUGAAAUUAUUCUCCUCGCAAAUAGUAGAGAAUGCUAAAGAGGAAGUAAUAAGCCCACGAGCUCGGUAUUCAUCAUGGUGAGUAUCGAACAGAUCUGGUGAAAAGCCAGAGCCGACAGUAUAGUCUGGAAGGGAGAAGAAGUAA